rnacentral:pre_miRNA from 1 species
UAUAAUGUUUUGACUCUUUGUCUUAUUUUAAUUUUUUUUGUGAUUAAUAUUUUUAUUUUUAAUGGAUGAUAAAAUAUAAAUAGUGUUUUAUACGUGACUAAUUUUUUAAAAAUUUUGUAUAAAUUUUUUAAAUAAGAGGAAUGGUCAAACGUUGGAAACGAAAA